AUGGCAAACAGAGCAAAGGGCAGGAGCCCCUCUUGCAGCCGGCCGGUAUCUCAAUAUUUGCAGAGAAGGCCGAGAGCUGCAGGCACGCUUGCAGCAGCCGGCCGGACUUUCACCCCCUCCUCCUGCCGCCGCCCCAAGGGCAGCGAGGCGCCGCGCUCCUUCGGGCCCAGCAGGCGGCGGCACCGGGCAGGCAGCUCCGCCCGGCCGAAAGCCCCGGCCCCCUCCGGGCCGUCCUCGGGAGCAGGCCGAGCCCGGGCCGUGCGGUGGCUUUUCCGAGCCCGCCUCGUCGCGCGUCCCUCUAGGGGAGCCCGUCCGUGCCCCGCUGCCCCCGGCCCUGCCGCCGCGAGGUGGCAGCCGGCGGCCAGGAAAAGCCGCGGCGCCGCCGGGCCCCGGUGCGGCCUCGCGAAGCCAGAACCGGGGCUGGGGGGCGCGGGCGAGGCAGGGCCGCAGCGCGUGGCCGCGGGCAGGCUCCGUGCUCGCCGCUCCGCCCCGCCGCGGGCACGGCCGGCACCGCCCGCGUCCCGUCGCGCUGCGGGCCUGGGGCGCAGCCAGGCCCCGCGGGUACCGUGCGGCUGGGAAGGGUGGGGAGCAGCGCAACCGGCUGCGAAACCCAGCUCUGCACAUCACCAGCCCUGUGCCCAGAAAGGCUGGGGAUGCAGUGCAGCUCGCCAGCCCCGUGCUCUCCUCCAAAAACAUGCUCCCUGUCCCUGUCCCUGUCCCUGUCCCUGUCCCUGUCCCUGUCCCUGUCCCUGUCCCUGUCCCUGUCCCCAGGGCUGUGGCCAUGUUUGCACCAGGACUACUGAAUGGAGGGGGAUGGAGAAGCCCCACAUGCUGCUGAGUGUUGGGCUGCGGUGGCAGCCUCGGCAGGGCACAGCUCUCCAGGCCCAGGGGUGCACAGACCCGGCAUCAGGGGCCCCAUGCUGGCACCAGCAGGCUGCCCUGAGGCAGCCACGGCUCCAGCACUGGGGGCAGGAGGUGCCCACGGGGCCCUCCAGCAGGGCUCGGGGCCGCAGGGACCCUGCGGGAUCCAUGGGGUAUGGGCUGCUGCCAGCUGGCAAUGAAGGGCGGCCAGCAUGUUGGUUUCAGACCAGUUUGGACAGAAACCAAACGCAGGGAGAAACUGCCAUGAAAUUCCUGCGGAACAACCCCCCAACCUCACUGCUCUGA
rnacentral:lncRNA from 1 species